rnacentral:rRNA from 1 species
AAAUGAUUGGGGUGAAGUCGUAACAAGGUAGCCGUAUCGGAAGGUGCGGCUGGAUCACCUCCUUUCUAAGGA